UAAAAGGAGAACUUAGGUCUUAGCCGAAACCUAAUUUUCCUUCUCCUCUUUCUCUUCACGCGCGACGGCAUUCCUGUGCUCGGGCGGAAACAACGUCGAGCCUAGGGCAUCGACUUCGACGGCCGGCCGAGCACCUUUUUCGUGAGAUCUUCACACGGUGGUGGUCACCUCGUCGAGGAGAGCACACGGGUGUCAAUGGCUCGCCGAUACAGCCACACCUCCGAAGCCCUAGAGGUCAUCUCCGUCGGUUGUAAGUGCAAGAACAAGGGAUAAAGGAAAAGCCAAAUAGAUAUGAAAAGAGGCGACAAGGGAAGGCUUGAUGGGCGUGUGAUGUCUGGACUGUGGAGUGAUCUAAGAAGUUGUUAAUUCUUUUUAUUAAGAGUCUUAAUUGUUAAAAGAAUUUAAAACUUGUAUAUGCUAUUUUCUUGGGAUUGUUUUAUCGUGUAUUGCUGGAGUUGAUCUUUUGGUA